AUAAAAUAAUUAUGUUUUUAAAAUUUAUUAUUAAUUUAUUUUACAUAUAAAUUUUAGUGUAUAAUUUUAAUUAUUUAAAAAAUAAUUAAUUUAAUUUUAGUAGUAAUUAAUAUUAAAAAUUUAAGAAAUUAAGAUUUAGUAAUAUAAAAAUUAAUAACUAAUUUUGUGCCAGCAGUUGCGGUUAAACAAAAGUUAAAUUAAAUUAUUUCAGUAUAUAAUAAAUAAUUAAAUUAUUAAAAUAAAUAUUAAACUAUUAAGUGAAAUUUUAAUUUAAUUAAAUUUUAUUUUAAAAUUAUGAUUUAAUAAAUUUUAAUAUAAACUAGGAUUAGAUACCCUAUUAUUAAAAAUUUAAUUUAUAAUACUAAAAUAGUAAAUAAUAAUUUAUUGAAACUUAAAUAACAUGGCGGUAUUUUAGUUCAUUUAGAGGAAUCUGUCUAAUAAUUGAUAAUCCACGAAUAAAUUUACUUAAUUUAUAAUUUUGUAUAUCAUUGUUAAAAAAAUAUUUUUAAGGAAAAAUAAUAUUUAAUAUUUAAAAUUAAAAGUUAAAUCAGAUCAAGAUGCAGAAUAUAAUUAAGAAUAUGAUGGAUUACAAUAAUUAUAAUUAAAUGAAUAAUUUUUUUUUGUAAUAAAAAUUUGAAGGUGGAUUUAAAUGUAAUUUUAAUUAAUUUAUUAAAAUGAUUAAUAAUUAAAAUAUGUACAUAUUGCCCGUCACUUUCAUUUAAAAAUUGAAAUAAGUCGUAACAAAGUAGAGGUACUGGAAAGUGUUUCUAGAAAGA
rnacentral:ncRNA from 1 species